rnacentral:rRNA from 1 species
GAAAUGCGAUAAGUAAUGUGAAUUGCAGAAUUCAGUGAAUCAUCGAAUCUUUGAACGCACCUUGCGCUCCUUGGUAUUCCUUGGAGCAUGCCUGUUUGAGUAUCAUGAAAUUAUCAAAGCAAGUCUUUUGUUAAUUCAAUUGGCUUUUUGCUUUGGAUUUGGAGGUCUUUGCAGAUUUAAUACUCUGCUCCUCCUAAAUGCAUUGGCUGGAUCUCAGUAUAUGCUCGGUUCCACUCGGCGUGAUAAGUAUCACUCGCUGAGGACACUUUUGUAAAAGAAGGUGGCCGGGAAAUACAGAUGAACCGCUUCUAACAGUCUAUUAAAUUAGACAAAUAAUUUUAAGAUCUGAUCUCAAAUCAGGUAGGACUACCCGCUGAACUUAAGCAUAUCAAUAAGCGGAGGAAAAAGAAACUAACAAGGAUUCCCCCUAGU